GCGCCCGUAGCUCAGCUGGAUAGAGCGUCUGGCUACGAACCAGAAGGUCGGGAGUUCGAACCUCUCCGGGCGCGCCA
rnacentral:tRNA from 1 species